AGCUGACUUUGGCUGCUGCCUCUGUGCCAGGCCGGUCGGGAUGGAGCCCAGACGCCCGCAUGGAGGAGUUCAGAGUGGGGCAGCUUGUAAGAUCAGUGAGGAGAAGGUUCAGCCUGGGAGCUGCCACAUCCCGGGAGGACUGGAGCCGAGACAACGGCCUCUCGCCUCACAGGAAAUAUUCCACCUGGAAAUUUCAGUGAAUUUCUGAAAAGAUUUUUUGAGGUUUUUUCCUUGGAAAAUGUACAACUAGACCACGAGUCAAACCAAAACCACAUGUCUUGUAUGAAGUCGAUGUCUAUAUUAAAAGUGUUCUCUUGUGGCUGACAAAGA